rnacentral:rRNA from 1 species
GAAGCGACAAAUGCCCUGCUUCCAGGAAAAGCCUCUAAGCAUCAGGUAACAUCAAAUCGUACCCCAAACCGACACAGGUGGUCAGGUAGAGAAUACCAAGGCGCUUGAGAGAACUCGGGUGAAGGAACUAGGCAAAAUGGUGCCGUAACUUCGGGAGAAGGCACGCUGAUAUGUAGGUGAAGCGACUUGCUCGUGGAGCUGAAAUCAGUCGAAGAUACCAGCUGGCUGCAACUGUUUAUUAAAAACACAGCACUGUGCAAACACGAAAGUGGACGUAUACGGUGUGACGCCUGCCCGGUGCCGGAAG